AAAUGCCAGCGGUUAUGACGUAAUC
rnacentral:piRNA from 1 species